GACGUAGGGCGCGAGCGUUGUCCGGAUUUAUUGGGCGUAAAGAGCUCGUAGGCGGCUUGUCGCGUCGUCCGUGAAAACCUGCAGCUCAACUGCAGGCUUGCGGUCGAUACGGGCAGGCUCGAGUUCGGUAGGGGAGACUGGAAUUCCUGGUGUAGCGGUGAAAUGCGCAGAUAUCAGGAAGAACACCCGUGGCGAAGGCGGCUCUCUGGGACGGUACUGACGCUGAGACGCGAAAGCGUGGGGAGCGAACAGG
rnacentral:rRNA from 1 species